CCUACGGGUGGCAGCAGUGAGGAAUAUUGGUCAAUGGACGAGAGUCUGAACCAGCCAAGUAGCGUGAAGGAUGACUGCCCUAUGGGUUGUAAGCUUCUUUUAUAUGGGAAUAAAACAGGGUAUGCAUACCCUCUUGUAUGUACCAUAUGAAUAAAGAUCGGCUAACUCCGUGCCAGCAGCCGCGGUAAUACGGAGGAUCCGAGCGUUAUCCGGAUUUAUUGGGUUUAAAGGGAGCGUAGGUGGAUUGUUAAGUCAGUUGUGAAAGUUUGCGGCUCAACCGUAAAAUUGCAGUUGAAACUGGCAGUCGUGAGUACAGUAGAGGUAGGCGGAAUUCGUGGUGUAGCGGUGAAAUGCUUAGAUAUCACGAAGAACUCCGAUUGCGAAGGCAGCUCACUGGACUGCAACUGACACUGAUGCUCGAAAGUGUGGGUAUCAAACAGGAUUAGAUACCCUUGUAGUC
rnacentral:rRNA from 1 species